GACAGAGGAUGCAAGCGUUAUCCGGAAUGAUUGGGCGUAAAGCGUCUGUAGGUGGCUUUUUAAGUCUGCCGUCAAAUCCCAGGGCUCAACCCUGGACAGGCGGUGGAAACUACCAAGCUGGAGUACGGUAGGGGCAGAGGGAACUUCCGGUGGAGCGGUGAAAUGCGUAGAUAUCGGAAGGAACGCCGGUGGCGAAAGCGGCGUGCUGGACCCCUUCUGACGCUGAGGCGCGAAAGCCAGGGGAGCGAACGGG
rnacentral:rRNA from 1 species